rnacentral:misc_RNA from 1 species
CCACACCAAAAAACUUUCCACGUGAACCGUUGUAACUAUGUUCUGUGCGAUCUCCUCGGAGAGAGCUGAACGAAGGUGGACUGCUUAAUUGUAGUCUGCCGAUGUACUUUUAAACCCAUUACACUAAUACUGAACUAUACUCCAAAAACGAAAGUAUUUGGUUUUAAUCAAUAA